ACUAUGUGUUUUUCUUGUUGUCUUCUUGAUCCAGGUACACCUCUGCUGUAUGCAAACUCGAUCAACCGCCAACUAGAAACUCCUUUUCGACGAUAACAUCGACCGCAUAGCUCGCGAAAUAAGAGAAAGGAGAAAUACAGUCAACCUUGUACCUCAGCAAACACUCGAAAUGACUGACGAACCAAAUCAACAGAGUGGACCCGCAAACAUUGGUGCUGGAGAUGCACCACAUGAUCAUCGUCAGAGGAAAGGAAUUGCACCUCCUGCUAUCCAGAACAACAACUUCGAGAUUAAGAGUGGUCUCAUCUCGAUGAUUCUGGGGAACAAGUUCCAUGGUCUGCCUAUGGAAGAUCCACUCGACCACUUGGAUGAAUUUGAUAGGCUCUGCAACCUAACAAAAAUCAAUG
rnacentral:sRNA from 1 species